CCGAUUACUCUCCCACAACGGAUUAGCCCAGGCAAGGGCCUUGCCCUUUAAUUGAUUCAUUAGAUAACCAAUUCUUGCUCUGUCCGUGGGGAAUGACCCUGGUGAGGCCUCAAAAUGGUACUCCACCUGAUUAAGAAAACCCCUGCAUUCCUGGAUAUUGCCAUCAAACUGUAGGGAUGGUGAUAAGGAGAUGCUAGGAGUCCUAUUAACAGGGUAGAGGUGCUAUAGGAGGAGACGCUGCAGGCUGCAGAUGCUCCGUUCUAGCGAGAAGCGUACUUAAAGCCUGAGUGAAUUGAUCCAUGUGGUGAUCAUUCUCCUCUAAUUUCCUCUCGCAAGCAGCUAUGUGCUGACACAGUUCUACAGGAUCUAUGGCCAUGUCGUAAUGUCAGGAUUACUGUUUGAUCCAGCACGUAGAAC